CAACCCUCAAGCUCAGCUUGGUCUUGGGCUCUGCCGGCAACGGCUUGCCUUAAAAUCAGUGGCGGUGCCAUCGAGCUCUACGCGUAGUAAUUAAACCCUCGCUUCUGAGUCUCGGUGAACGCUUGCCAGCAACCCCCAAUUUUUUAUGG
rnacentral:misc_RNA from 1 species